rnacentral:rRNA from 1 species
UACGGGAGGCAGCAGUGAGGAAUAUUGGUCAAUGGGCGUAAGCCUGAACCAGCCAAGUAGCGUGCAGGAUGACGGCCCUAUGGGUUGUAAACUGCUUUUAUGCGGGGAUAAAGUCACCCACGUGUGGGUGUUUGUAGGUACCGCAUGAAUAAGGACCGGCUAAUUCCGUGCCAGCAGCCGCGGUAAU